CUCAGCUUCAGGAGAAUGUAGCAAUAUCACCAGGCUAAUAGGAGCAUUCACGAAAGUGGCUUCAAAAGCCAGCAGGUAAAAUAGUUCUCCCUAAGUGCUAGCUAUCUGUUACUCUUGUGUUACAACCACUCACUUGCUGCAGCUGGCAGAUUUUCGUUUCUGGCUUUCCUUUAGGUAGGCUGAAGGAAGAAGGCCUUUCAUUGCUACCUUUUGGCAGCCCUGUCGUUAUUUGGCUCCUUACGUGCGCAGGGAAAUCGUGUGAAGGCAAGGUUCCCAACCCAGAUCCAACGCAGGGAUCCUUCGUCCCGAGCCGGGAGUCUGCCAACGCGCGGAGGAAGACCAUCCAAGUCGAGGCUUGCCCCUGCUCGUUCACCCGCCGUCCCUCCCCUCAGCCGGAUGCCGGGAACAAGAGAAAGGGAGCGAUUGGGAGAUUCCGUUUUAAUACAUUGACUUCAGCCUAGCAUCGCCCCGUGUUGGUGCAGGAGACCCCGUCUGAACCCUAGGAAUUAAUCGGAACGCCUCCUCCCGUAAGGUAAUGCCACCCAGCAGCAGCACUUGCCCCUGCUCGUUCACCCGCCGUCCCUCCCCUCAGCCGGAUGCCGGGAACAAGAGAAAGGGAGCGAUUGGGAGAUUCCGUUUUAAUACAUUGACUUCAGCCUAGCAUCGCCCCGUGUUGGUGCAGGAGACCCCGUCUGAACCCUAGGAAUUAAUCGGAACGCCUCCUCCCGUAAGGUAAUGCCACCCAGCAGCAGCAGGACAGGAGNGCAGGCUCGGUGCGGACUCGCACGGAAAGCAUAAGCCGGGAGAAGUCCUCGAUCGUGCCUCCGGGGGAGGGCAGCGUGGAUGCCGUCCAGGCGCGCUGCUCCGUUGGCUUCCCUUCCGUAGAGAAUGUCUGGGUUCGGCGAAAAGGGAAGGGAUGCUUUCCUGUCUCACAUCCCAUUCAGAUGUUGCCGAACGGAGGAGGUGGAUUCGUGCGGGGCCAGUUGAAGAAAAGUGCGGCUUGCUCGCGGUGUCGGAAAAAAGCAGAAUCAUGUGACAUUUGAAAGAUAGUACAAGUGUGUUGUGGAAGUAGCAAGUUAAUCCGGAAAAUGGUAGCGUGUUUUCUGUGGCUAGUUGAAAUGUGCAACCAGCAGCAUUGUUUUUCCCACCCCCCAAGAAACAUACCACCUGCCCCCCCAGUUUUCAGAUGUAGCACAAGUGAGGGCUGAGGAUCAUCGCUAUGUGGCUAUCCAAUAGAUGCCCACCGGAUUUUGGCAAGAUGUGGAUGAGUUU
rnacentral:lncRNA from 1 species